AGCAAGCAAGGAAUGUUACUUGUAGUACUGCCAGAUGCCCAGAGGCCAGGAGAUGAGCUCUCCUGGUACAUAAAUAAAUCUGAAGGUGACUGCACCAGAUGAAAUAUUAAUAAAAACUCCUCCUUCCCACUUCUCCCAUAUCUUUGGUGAUUCUUCGUGUCCAGGCAAACCAGAUGCAAAGAUGAGCAUUUAACUGCAUCCCAGUUGCUGAAGUACUACUGCCAUGUGUUGUAAAUAGAAAGUUGCCAGAGUGCAGUUCAAGAAUGGUGGCAUGGAAAAACUGCAAAAGGCAGAAUUGUUGCCUCCCAAACACAGUAUUUGUGAAGACUAGAUGUCCCUUUAACAAGGAAUAACAGCAUA